AACAUACAACAGUAGGGAUUCGCAUGUGGUCACCCACCAUACUACUAACCUACCGGCGUGUGGCUUAAGUACGGCUGAGCGGACGGGAAGCCCUGUUUUCCACACCCUAUGGUCGUAUGU
rnacentral:rRNA from 1 species